UAAAACUUGCAUCAUACUAUGAUACAUCUCCUGAAUGCAACUCAAGCACUUUAAUUAAGCUAAAGCUU
rnacentral:tRNA from 1 species